CGCACGGUAGAGAAGCGGUCAUCUCGUCUGGCUCAUAACCAGAAGGUCAGGGGUUCGAAUCCCCUCCGAGCAACCA
rnacentral:tRNA from 1 species